UCCGGUUUGUCACCGGCAGUCUCGCAUGAGUCCCCAACUUAAUGCUGGCAACAUGCGACGGGGGUUGCGCUCGUUGCGGGACUUAACCCAACAUCUCACGACACGAGCUGACGACAGCCAUGCACCACCUGUGACGGUGCCCAAAGGGAGACUCUGUUUCCAGAGCUGUCAAGAACAUGUCAAGCCCAGGUAAGGUUCUUCGCGUUGCGUCGAAUUAAACCACAUGCUCCGCUGCUUGUGCGGGCCCCCGUCAAUUCCUUUGAGUUUCAUCCUUGCGGACGUACUCCCCAGGCGGGAUGCUUAAUGCGUUAGCUGCGCCACUGACGGGUAAACCCGCCAACGGCUAGCAUCCAUCGUUUACGGCGUGGACUAC
rnacentral:misc_RNA from 1 species